AGCGAACGCUGGCGGCAGGCUUAACACAUGCAAGUCGAACGCUCCGCACGGGGAGUGGCAGACGGGUGAGUAACACGUGGGAACGUACCCUUUGGUUCGGAAUAACUUGGGGAAACUCAAGCUAAUACCGGAUAAGCCCUUAUGGGGAAAGGUUUACUGCCGAAGGAUCGGCCUGCGUCUGAUUAGCUAGUUGGUGAGGUAAUGGCUCACCAAGGCGACGAUCAGUAGCUGGUCUGAGAGGAUGAUCAGCCACACUGGGACUGAGACACGGCCCAGACUCCUACGGGAGGCAGCAGUGGGGAAUAUUGGACAAUGGGGUCAACCCUGAUCCAGCCAUGCCGCGUGAGUGAUGAAGGCCUUAGGGUUGUAAAGCUCUUGUACCCGGGACGAUAAUGACUGUACCGGGAGAAUAAGCCCCGGCUAACUUCGUGCCAGCAGCCGCCGUAA
rnacentral:rRNA from 1 species